AGUCGGAGCCCCCGAGCGGGGUGACGGCGUGCCUUUUGUAGAAUGAGCCAGCGAGUUGCGGUAUGCGGCGAGGUUAAGGUUUGAACCGAGCCGCAGUGAAAGCGAGCCUUUAAGAUGGCGAUAGAGUCGCAUGCUGCAGACGCGAAGCCGGGUGAGCUAUCCAUGGGCAGGCUGAAGCGGGGGUAAGACCCCGUGGAGGGCCGAACCCACUUCGGUUGAAAACGGAGGGGAUGACCCGUGGAUAGGGGUGAAAGGCCAAUCAAACCCGGAGAUAUCUCGUUCUCCCCGAAAUAGCUUUAGGGCUAGCGUCGCGCGUUCACCGCCGGAGGUAGAGCACCGGAUGGACGAGGGGGCUUCGCCGCCUACCGAAUCCAACCGAACUCCGAAUGCCGGCGGCCCAGAGCGCGGCAGUCAGAGCAUGUGGGCUAAGCUGUGUGCUCGAGAGGGAAACAGCCCGGACCGCCCGCUAAGGUCCCCAAGUUCCAGCCGAGUGGCAAAGGAUGUGCGUCCGCCCAGACAACCAGGAUGUUGGCUUAGAAGCAGCCAUGCAUUCAAAGAGUGCGUAACAGCUCACUGGUCGAGUGGACAUGCGCCGACAAUACACGGGGCUAAGCUGGACACCGAAGCGGCGGGAUUCUACCUAAGUAGAAUCGGUAGGGGAGCUUCCCAUGGGCGGAGAAGCCGGAGGGCGACCGACGGUGGAGCGCAUGGGAGUGAGAAUGCUGGCAUGAGUAGCGAGAGACGAGAGAGUAACUCGUCCGCCGUGAACCCGAGGUUUCCUGGGCAAGGCUAAUCCUCCCAGGGUCAGUCGGGGGCUAAGGCGAGGCCGGUAGGCGUAGCCGACGCGCAGCAGGCAGACAUUCCUGCACCGCGCACGCGGCGCUACGACCGACGGGGCGACGGAUGGGGGUGGCUCGGCGGGGUUCUGGACGUCCCCGUGAUGGAGCGCGGCCCGCGGACCAGGGAAAUCCGGUCCGCAUCGAGGGCGAGGCUCCGGACGAAGCACUUAAGCGAAGCGAGUGAGCCCGAGGUCCCUAGAAAAACCCCUAGGCAGGCGCGUGCGCGCCCGUACCGCAAACCGACACAGGUGGGUGGGUAGAACAUACCGAGGCGAUCGGGUCAACCAUGGUCAAGGAACUCGGCACAAUGGCCCCGUAACUUCGGGAGAAGGGGUGCCCGCGCGUACGUGAACGGACUUGCUCCGGGAGCGGAGGCGGGCCGCAGUGGAGAGGCCCAAGCGACUGUUUACCAAAAACACAGGACUCUGCAGAAGCCGCAAGGCGACGUAUAGGGUCUGACGCCUGCCCGGUGCCGGAAGGUCACGCGGAGGAGUUAGCGCAUCGCGCGAAGCCCCGAAGCCAAGCCCCGGUAAACGGCGGCCGUAACUAUAACGGUCCUAAGGUAGCGAAAUUCCUUGUCGGGUAAGUUCCGACCUGC
rnacentral:rRNA from 1 species